rnacentral:rRNA from 1 species
AGAGUUUGAUCCUGGCUCAGGAUGAACGCUGGCGGCGUGCUUAACACAUGCAAGUCGAACGGGAAACCUUUUAUUGAAGCUUCGGCAGAUUUAGAUUGUUUCUAGUGGCGGACGGGUGAGUAACGCGUGGGUAACCUGCCUUGUACAGGGGGAUAACAGUCAGAAAUGACUGCUAAUACCGCAUAAGCGCACAGGACCGCAUGGUCCGGUGUGAAAAACUCCGGUGGUAUAAGAUGGACCCGCGUUGGAUUAGCUGGUUGGUGAGGUAACGGCUCACCAAGGCGACGAUCCAUAGCCGGCCUGAGAGGGUGAACGGCCACAUUGGGACUGAGACACGGCUCAGACUCCUACGGGAGGCAGCAGUGGGGAAUAUUGCACAAUGGGGGAAACCCUGAUGCAGCGACGCCGCGUGAAGGAAGAAGUAUCUCGGUAUGUAAACUUCUAUCAGCAGGGAAGAAAAUGACGGUACCUGACUAAGAAGCCCCGGCUAACUACGUGCCAGCAGCCGCGGUAAUACGUAGGGGGCAAGCGUUAUCCGGAUUUACUGGGUGUAAAGGGAGCGUAGACGGAUGGACAAGUCUGAUGUGAAAGGCUGGGGCUCAACCCCGGGACUGCAUUGGAAACUGCCCGUCUUGAGUGCCGGAGAGGUAAGCGGAAUUCCUAGUGUAGCGGUGAAAUGCGUAGAUAUUAGGAGGAACACCAGUGGCGAAGGCGGCUUACUGGACGGUAACUGACGUUGAGGCUCGAAAGCGUGGGGAGCAAACAGGAUUAGAUACCCUGGUAGUCCACGCGGUAAACGAUGA